CCCCGGCGCCACCGGUCUUGGAUCCGGCCGCCGCGCUGCCUGCCUCUGCUCCUCACUUCUCUGCCUCUGUGCCCGCACGAGGGGAUGCCAAGCCCUCGUGCUCCUCGAUCGUCAGCCAUAGGGGAGCCACCCGCGCACCUUCCCUUCCUGUCUUCCUCUCCUUCCUUCUCCCUCACACCCUCUCUCUCUGUUCUCCUGCAGGUACCCUCCAUGGCCAUCAUGGACAGCAGCCAUGCGGCAGGAGCUCGCCACCGAAGUCCCCCGAGCACCGUACGCCCCGAAUCUGGCCGGGAGACGAGGCCGAGCCCUCGCGCCCAGAUCCGCUGCAGCAACCUGGAAGUUCGCCGCCGCCACCUCGGGCGGUUCAACUGAUGCACCGCCGCCCUCACCUCCCUCCCUGACAGACGCGUCGUCGUGACUCCACCUCCUGGCUGGACCACCGCGAGCCUCCACCUCCCGGCUUCCCGGUGCUGCCCCGUUGGCCUCCUCUCGUGGCCCCGCUGUCUUCCCCAUGUGAGCCAACCAGGCCAGACGGCCACCCCGGCAAGCACUCAUCCUCGUGUUCGCUUGGUGGAGACUAGGAGGAGCGGCAGAGACGCCGCCCCGAGGCAGAAUCCCUGCCUCCGCUUGGUUCCGUCCACAGCAGCACACCACAUCUCCCCUGUCGUCCACCUGCCAUGUUCAUGUCCACAGCUUCCAUUUCAGCCAUUGAAGCUGUAGAUGGAGCGCGACAUGCAGCAGUGUCGCCCCAACAAGCAUGCAACGCCGACGACGACAGGGUGUGGCGUGUGUCUGUCCGGCAUGCUGGGCAUGGUGCCGAGGGGCAGCAGUUUGAAUUGGCUGUGGGUUAAAAUUCAGGUAAUGCUAUUGUCUGGUGGCAAAGGAUCAUGCAGGCUAUUUCGUUACUGAAAAAACGCGUGACGCAAGGAAUAAGAUUUUUUCAAUAAACUCCUACUCUUAUUCUUUUCCCCUUCGACUUUCUCUGCCAUGGAUGUGUGCAUGCGUGCUAUGUGCGUGAGUGCGCUACAACAAUUUGUGUAAAAGAAACAUUUUCAAUUGGGCAAAAUUAGUUGAUGGUUGUCGAAGUUCAGACAUUUGUAUUGGUGACCUUCAGUAAUUAUAGAAUGAGAAGUAGUGUGUGCCGUCU